GGUGCUGUUAUGAAAGAUUAGCACUCGCUUAUGCCAAAUGCUUGAGCUCAAAACAGAAUUUAUUGGGGGAGGUUCACUUCCGUUACUUUCUUAAUAUCCUUAGUAUUCUUUUGGUUUCCUGGUGUUGCAGUAGGUAUGUAUUUAUAGAUGCUAUUUUCUUCUCUCCCCUGUGCAGCCGUGGCUGUCACAUGUACCUUGGUUAACCAUUUCCCCUUGGUACUUUUGCCAUUGCAUACUGUGCUAUACUGGGUUACACUGUUCUGCUUUUGUCUCAGAUCAGGGCAAAGAUAGGAAUGCAACAGUGAAGAGAUCUUCAGAGUAUCCAUCGCUCCUAUCAACACUCCCAUCUGUAGCCAUCUGAGUAUUGUUGCAGCUACUCAGCAGCACCUGUAUUGCCAGUUGUAUAUGAUGGGCUGGGGAUCAGCAGCAGGAGAAUUAGGAAGAGCUUUUGCCAGCAAAAGUUCGGACUGCGCAUCUGGCAGUUACUCCAGAACUGCUCUACUGUAAGAGAGGAUUGUGUGCCCCAGAAGAGCCAAAAGCUGUGGAUGGUGGGAAAACAGCAUUUCACUUGCCCAGAAAAGGGAGAAAAGACACUUCACACACCACCGCAUGCAGGUAAGAUUCUUAUCCUUCCUGUAGUCCACAAAAUCUCAGAAUGCUGCAUAGAACUUUGGCCUAUCACUGAUUCCCAAGUUUGUAAAUACAUCCCAGGAUGACACCAGAAACUUAGAGCUGUGGCAGCUAAUCUAAAAUCAAGGGCAGUUUAACUUUCUGAAUAAUCCUUUUUACAUCAU